UGCUUGCACCUGAUUGACGAUGGAUCACCAGUGAGUGGCGGACGGGUGAGUAACACGUAGGUAACCUGCCCCGGAGCGGGGGAUAACAUUUGGAAACAGAUGCUAAUACCGCAUAACAACAAAAGCCACAUGGCUUUUGUUUGAAAGAUGGCUUUGGCUAUCACUCUGGGAUGGACCUGCGGUGCAUUAGCUAGUUGGUAAGGUAACGGCUUACCAAGGCGAUGAUGCAUAGCCGAGUUGAGAGACUGAUCGGCCACAAUGGAACUGAGACACGGUCCAUACUCCUACGGGAGGCAGCAGUAGGGAAUCUUCCACAAUGGGCGCAAGCCUGAUGGAGCAACACCGCGUGAGUGAAGAAGGGUUUCGGCUCGUAAAGCUCUGUUGUUGGAGAAGAACGUGCGUGAGAGUAACUGUUCACGCAGUGACGGUAUCCAACCAGAAAGUCACGGCUAACUACGUGCCAGCAGCCGCGGUAAUACGUAGGUGGCAAGCGUUAUCCGGAUUUAUUGGGCGUAAAGCGAGCGCAGGCGGUUGCUUAGGUCUGAUGUGAAAGCCUUCGGCUUAACCGAAGAAGUGCAUCGGAAACCGGGCAACUUGAGUGCAGAAGAGGACAGUGGAACUCCAUGUGUAGCGGUGGAAUGCGUAGAUAUAUGGAAGAACACCAGUGGCGAAGGCGGCUGUCUGGUCUGCAACUAACGCUGAGGCUCGAAAGCAUGGGUAGCGAACAGGAUUAGAUACCCUGGUAGUCCAUGCCGUAAACGAUGAGUGCUAGGUGUUGGAGGGUUUCCGCCCUUCAGUGCCGGAGCUAACGCAUUAAGCACUCCGCCUGGGGAGUACGACCGCAAGGUUGAAACUCAAAGGA
rnacentral:rRNA from 1 species